CAACAAUGUUCAAAUCUCUGAUCAGACUGACUUGCCGUUGUAUUAUCACUCCAAUCAAUCUGACACAACCUUAUUUUUGUGGCAAUAAGAUUUGAUUUAGCCAUAAAUUAAAUAGACUGACAUUUUUGGGUAAAUUACUUUUUUCUCAAAGCUGAGACUGUGAGCUAGUGCACAGUUAGUGUAAGUAAGUUUUUAAAGAUUAGUUUUUUCAAAAUAUUGAGUUUGCUGUAUCUUGACUUGUCAAGUCACUGCUGGUUAAUCAAGGCAAUGUUGAGCCAAACGCAGGCAGUCCAGGAUGAUUCACUGAUAAGGUAGCUUACAGGCAGGCAGGUAGGUACAGGUCCUUGUAACAUAACAGAAAAUAAAUUUACAGCUCAAAGAAAACACUAUCUGUGUCUUUCUUAACAAUUUAGACAGCAUUCUUUGUAAAGCUAAGGUGGUUUUUAAUCACAGUUUCAAAAUAUUUAAAGCUACUGAUGGUUUCUACAGUGAUUGUCAAAGUUUUUUCAGGUGCCAUUUAAAUCCUGUAUAUUUCUGCACACACAUCAAGCUACUGAUACCAAACAAUAUAUUUUUUGUAUUCACCACCUGUAUGUGUGAUGAACAUCUUCACAUGUUGUGAUCACAUUAUGUUUGCUCUCAGAUGGGUCCAGCAACAUCACCAUACCGAUUACUGCUGCAGUGGUUGUUUUUGCUGUCGUUCUCAUCGCUGUUAUUGGAUUUACUGUUUACAAAAAGAAGAGAGCAAAUCGCCCUCCAACUCGUAAGUAGAAUCUUGUUUUUAUUCUGUUGGUGUGACAUUCACUCUGUAGAUUAAAAAGGGCUUUCAGUGUGAGCUGAGGUAGUUCAGUGCAGGAAAAGAGGACUAACAGUGUGUUUCUGACCUUACAGCUUCUGUCAACAGCUCUGAGCUCUCUGAGAGACUGAAUCCAGAAACAAGAUUGACAAACUUUUCUGUUCUGGGGUCCUGGGGUUUUAGUGUUUUCGGUGUGGUGGGGAUGUUUUUACUAUUGUUCUGAAAUGGCUCUGUAGUGUCAAGCACUUUCUGCUACAUGUAUUUGUAUGAAAAGUGAUAUAUAAAUAAAGAUUGGAUUGAUUGAUUGAUUGAAACACA